CCAGUCCCAGGUCCCAACUCCGGAAGGGUACGGCUCUAAGCCUGCACCUCCCUUUGCCAUAGCAACCGCUGGCUGCCCCUCCCUUCUGCCUUUUGAGCACGUGGCACCAGGACCCCGCGAUCUCUCCAGCUCGAAAGCCAGGUCUGGCCCAGAGCCGGGCUCAUCAGUAUUCCGCCCGCGGCGCCCACCCCCCUACCCUUCGCGGUGCCUCACCAGAUCAAAACUGCUUGGACAGCUGAAUCUCCACAUGGAAAGCAGUUAUCAGAAUCAUUGAGUCACUGCCUGGAGAACAACAAAGGAGAAAUUAACUUUGGUUGUGAAGAUGUUAGAGGUUCUACAGUUUUCAGACUCCAGGACUUACAUUAGCACCUCAUACCGUAAUCCCAGCCCAGGUUCUUAGGGCUUAGACUUGGACUGAAUGACAUCACCAGCAUUCCUACUUUUGCUGCUUGCAAAUGGAUCAUGUGACACAUCUUGGCCUCCAUAAUGAUGUCUUCCACUAUUGUUGUAUAGCAGAGCAGUCAAUCAAAUGUCACCUCAGAGCCAUAUGCAAUCAAGCCUGGUAAAACUACUUGUACAGGUAUUAAGAGUCAAUCUGAGCAAAUAAACCAUUAAUUGAAUAAA